GCGCACCAGUCGCGAAACCUCUGCAAUAGGCGAAAGCCUGACAGGGUUACUCUGAGUGAUUUCCGCUAAGGGGAUCUUUUGGCACCUCUAAAAAUGGUACAGAAUAAGGGGUGGGCAAGUCUGGUGUCAGCCGCCGCGGUAAUACCAGCACCCCGAGUGGUCGGGACGAUUAUUGGGCCUAAAGCAUCCGUAGCCGGUUCUGCAAGUCUUCCGUUAAAUCCAGCCGCUCAACGGAUGGGCCGCGGAGGAUACUACAGGACUAGGAGGCGGGAGAGGCAAGCGGUACUCAGUGGGUAGGGGUAAAAUCCUUUGAUCCAUUGAAGACCACCAGUGGCGAAGGCGGCUUGCCAGAACGCGCUCGACGGUGAGGGAUGAAAGCUGGGGGAGCAAACCGGAUUAGAUACCCGGGUAGU
rnacentral:rRNA from 1 species